ACUUAUAUGCCAGAAGUCUUCCCAUGCUGGUACAUGAUGAAAGAACUCAGUGGGGAAACCCCCACUCAGCUCCCGAUUCGGCGUGCACCCAAGAAUCACGAAUAGAACA
rnacentral:pre_miRNA from 7 species